AGCGAACGCUGGCGGCAGGCUUAACACAUGCAAGUCGAACGGGCGUAGCAAUACGUCAGUGGCAGACGGGUGAGUAACGCGUGGGAACGUACCUUUUGGUUCGGAACAACACAGGGAAACUUGUGCUAAUACCGGAUAAGCCCUUACGGGGAAAGAUUUAUCGCCGAAAGAUCGGCCCGCGUCUGAUUAGCUUGUUGGUGAGGUAAUGGCUCACCAAGGCGACGAUCAGUAGCUGGUCUGAGAGGAUGAUCAGCCUGACUGGAACUGAGACACGGUCCAGACUCCUACGGGUGGCAG
rnacentral:rRNA from 1 species